rnacentral:rRNA from 1 species
GAUGAACGCUAGCGGCAGGCUUAAUACAUGCAAGUCGAGGGGUAGCAAGAUUGUAGCAAUACAAUUGUUGACGACCGGCAAACGGGUGCGGAACACGUACACAACCUUCCUACAAGUGGGGAAUAGCCCAGAGAAAUUUGGAUUAAUACCCCGUAACAUAGCGAUGUGGCAUCACAUUGCUAUUAUAGCUUCGGCGCUUGUUGAUGGGUGUGCGGCUGAUUAGAUAGUUGGCGGGGUAACGGCCCACCAAGUCUACGAUCAGUAGCUGAUGUGAGAGCAUGAUCAGCCACACGGGCACUGAGACACGGGCCCGACUCCUACGGGAGGCAGCAGUAAGGAAUAUUGGACAAUGGGCGCAAGCCUGAUCCAGCCAUGCCGCGUGCAGGAAGACGCAUCUAUGGUGUGUAAACUGCUUUUGUACGGGAAGAAACACUCCCUCGUGAGGGAGCUUGACGGUACCAUAAGAAUAAGGAUCGGCUAACUCCGUGCCAGCCGCCGCAGUAAUAC